UAUGCCCUGCUUUGUUCGUGAUAGGUCCUAUUAAACCCACAUCGAUCAUAAGGGAUGCCAUAUUUCCCCGUGGAUUGCAGGCCUCCCGCGGCGCUCUGGUGGCGCCCGCGGACGUUGGAAGCAGAGAAGCGGAGAAGAGGCAACCCACCUGCAAUUACGUGCAGGUUAUAAUUGGACUUACACGGCACGGCGGGGAAAUU
rnacentral:other from 1 species